GUUGGUGAUAGUUGGUCCACUAUAGGAGUGGAGUGCGUAUCAAGAUAGGAUCUAUCAACCUUGAUAGAGAAGAGUAGUCCUAUGAGAUUUGAGAGGCUAAGUCCAAGAGUCUGUGGCCACAGCAGUGUGAUUGAUGAAAAAAAAAAUUUCAUAGAAGUCACAACUGGACUUGAGCUAAUCGAAUCUAUCAUAUGACUGAUGAUGAGAUUUGAUGAUUUAUCCAUGACCUAUCAUCUAGUCAGGACUCACGAUAGAAGGACUGAAUCAUAUGAUAACUACAUCUAGAGAUUCAUUUUAGUUCUACUAGGUUGCCACUAUAUACUGCUAGGUGUCACUG
rnacentral:lncRNA from 1 species